rnacentral:rRNA from 1 species
GAAUUUUGGACAAUGGGCGAAAGCCUGAUCCAGCAAUGCCGCGUGCAGGAUGAAGGCCUUCGGGUUGUAAACUGCUUUUGUACGGAACGAAAAGCUUUGGGUUAAUACCCUGGAGUCAUGACGGUACCGUCAGAAUAAGCACCGGCUAACUACGUGCCAGCAGCCGCGGUAAAACGGAGGGUGCAAGGGGUAAUCGGAAUUACUGGGGGUAAAGGGGUGGAGGGGGGGUUUGGAAGGCAGGGGUAAAAACCCCGGGCUCAACCUGGGAACUGCCUUUGUUACUGCAAGGCUAGAGGACGGGAGAGGGGGGUGGAAUUCCGCGUGUAGCAGUGAAAUGCGUAGAUAUGCGGAGGAACACCGAUGGCGAAGGCAACCCCCUGGGCCUGUACUGACGCUCAUGCACGAAAGCGUGGGGAGCAAACA